GGACAAGGAGAACCGAGUUUCGAAUAGAUAGAGCAACAUAUGAGCAAAAGCUAACUGAUUCAGCGACAUAUUCACGAUAGAAAACCAAACUUAAAAUCAUCUUGGAACCCAUGAAAUCAUUUAAACGGGGGCAGAAAAUGCAACACAUGAACUCGAACAGCCACAAACACAACACAUGAACUCCAAAUAUUUGGCAAUCUUAGUUCAUUCUUUCAACUUUAGAUGAGAGAAUGAAAAUACGAUGCCGAAUGUGAAGCAAUAAUGCAGAUUCCUAAGAAUAAGCUAAGACUGAUGAGAAUGUAUUGAAACCAAACACAACAAUAUUAUAAGAAUCAGAA
rnacentral:lncRNA from 1 species